AGCUUUAAAUCUAUGCUGAGUAAUUGCUGCAGUUUUGGUAUUUUCAUAUACAGUAGAUGCAAUUGCCGCAGAAAGUAUUUAGAUACUUCAGGGACACGUUAAUGUUUUUUAUUGCAUUGGGUAAUAAAAAUAUCAAAGCAACUGUCACUUAUUCUAAAGAAAAGGGGCAAACAUAUAUAUAUUACAUAUAAUAUUUACUUUGUAUAAAUUACGUUUGUUUGAAUUGAUAUAACAUAUAUGUGAAAGCUUCUAUUCAUCUGUGGACGACACACGUCAUUUGUCAACGCACUUCCUGUGUAAGCGUGAAGGAAGUGUUUGUGUGACGGUUGUGGGUUUGCAUAGUUUUAUCCCUCAUAUCUUUGUGCACUCUUGUCUUGUAUAUUGAACUUAUUUCCCCAUUUAAUGGAUCUGCUAGACUAGCAUUUGGAUUUGAUAGUGAUUUUAACAUUUUUAUAACAUUUUGGUCUUUAGAUCCAGUAUCUCAUGUAAAGCUGGGUGUGCUGUAAAACUGCAAGCACAUGUUGAACAAAUGGAGGAACUCUGGUUUCACAAGCAUGUGUCAAGUGUGGAGAAAAGGAAGAAAGGAAGAAUUAACUGCUGUGCGAUGCAAUUGGUCCUACCUUUUGGACUUAGUUGCAGUCUGCUAUAAGAUAUUUGGUGCUUUCCAGUCCAGCAUUCUCAUCAUGCAACCUGCUGUAACAGGAGGAAGUUAUCUGAAUGUGACGUGCCUAUAACUUCUCAUGUUAUUCUUCUGCUACACAGUGGUAUAAACAACCUGUGACGUCUCCGGAAAGUGAAAGUGUUUAAUAUCUCUGAUUCAGGGGAUGUUUGGUGGUUUUGAUAGCUGUCACUUAGUUACAUCUGAAAUUGCAGACAAACAACAAAUGGUAACAGUUUUUGUUGUCAGUAAUUUAAUUACAUUAAUGGUUGUGAACUUGGCAGACACUGUUACCCAAAUGAAAAAAACAUGCAAUUAAGGUAUAAGUGUUCUCUAAGAAUUGGAUCCCCGGCCUUGUCCUGAUUAGUUCCAUGCUCUAGCUAGGGGACAUAAACAUAAUUUAUCUUUUACUAUAUUGUGCAUCUUGCUCAAAACAAGUUUGUUGUCAUCACCAAACCAAAAAGAACCAUAGAGAGCAAAAUCUUGGUGAAUGUUCUUCACAAGCUCAAUUGUCUUUCUGUAAAUCUUUCCUGAUAACAAACCCAAACUUUGAAUUUAAAAGGGGAUGAAAAUUGGGACAAGUUCAUAGUGUAAAUGCACUUGGCAUGUUUUAGUUCCUCUCAUAUGUCAGUCUUGCCUUUCCUUUCUUGUUGUAAGUCACAUCAAAUGAUCCAAUCUGUUAACCAAUAAAAUGUUCAUAUAAUCUGAUUCUGUCUGAACCACUCACACACUGCUGUGCUCAAUCUUAAACACUUCUAACACUUCUCCUUUUUUCGGAGUCUGAGUUUGAUAUUUUUCAUUGAUGUUGUAAGAGUAAAGUAUGUGAAUAUGUUGACUAAUCACAACACCGGUAUUGUACAUUGAAUAUUUAUUUUAUCCACAUUGUAAAAUCAGUCAAUGCAUCCAUCCAUUCACAAAGGUUGCAAUUUGCACUGAAAAUUAGAACAUAUUCUAAACAUGAUAUAGAAUAUAAACAAAUACAUCUGUGGACAGGGACAUGCACAGACAUUUUGAGGGGCAAAAAGGGCACUUCUCAUAUUUACUUUAUUUAUUUAUUUAUUUAUUUAUUUAUUUUACACAAUCUGACUUGCUUAGCCAUCUAUUUUAAUUCCCUCACACUGACCCAGUUGCUUCAUUCUGUUUCAUUUUUCAACAGAUGCCUAAAAAAUAAUCAGCUAAUAACUGGGAAAGUUGUGUGGUGAUAUGCUUUAGUUAUUUUGUUUAUCCUAUUCAUCUGCAAUGCCUUGUGUCAAAUGUGUGCAAAUUUGCACAUUUCAAUUACUUAAUGCCUGAUUUGCAUAUCAGUGUGGCGAUUCUGAAUGGUGAAUCCAUCCUUGCACAGACGCUGCAUCAGUUCCUGCAGUUCUCAGGCCUUUUCCAUGGCUUGAAUGAGCACGAUCCUGAAAUAGGGCUUGCGAUCAUAAACCUUUCACAGAUCAGAAUAGUGAUGUACAUGACUCAGGGAGGGGUCAGCUGACCCAAACUGAACUGUGAAAGUUUUCAGAGAUCAGAAUAGUGAUGUUACUGACUCUGUGAAACCAUUAUCUGACCAUAACUGCACUGUGAACGUUUGCACGAAUCGAAACAGUGAUGUAAAUGAAUCAGGGAAAGGUUAACUGACC
ensembl:lncRNA